AUUGAACGCUGGCGGCAGGCUUAACACAUGCAAGUCGAGCGAGCGGCGGACGGGUGAGUAAUGUCUGGGAAACUGCCCGAUAGAGGGGGCUAACUACUGGAAACGGUCGCUAAUACCGCAUACUCUCGGCUGAACCCAUAUGGGAUUAGCUAGUUGGUGAGGUAAUGGCUCACCAAGGCUACGAUCCCUAGCUGGUCUGAGAGGAUGCUCAGCAACACUGGAACUGAGACACGGCCCAGAAUCCUACGGUAGGCAGCAGUGGGGAAUAUUGCACAAUGGGGGCAAGCCGGAUGCAGCAAUGCCGAGGGGAUGAAGAAGGCCUGCGGGUGGGAAAGUACUUUCAGCGAGGAGGCGGUACUAGCAGAAGAAGCACCGGCUAACUCCGUGCCAGCCGCCGCGGUAAUUC
rnacentral:rRNA from 1 species